CUGACCUGGGAACUUCCACAUGCCACAUAUUCAACCAAAAAAAACAAACAAACAAACAAAAAAAACCCAAAACAAAAAAACAAACAAAAACCCAGGGGUUUGAGUCCCAGCUCUAACACUUACUAGCUGUGUGACCUUGAGAAAGUCAUACUACAUUUCUGAGCUUUAAUUUUCUCAUCAAUCAAAUGGAGAGAGUAACAUGACUUGCCUCCUAUGGUUUUUUUUAAGUAUUUGAAUGAGUUCAAAUUCUUUGCACCUUGCCCAGCACAUACAAUAUGCUUAAUAGAUCACAGCUAUUAUGAAGUUAGUACUAUAAAUAAUGAAUAAUAAUAAUAAAACCACCUUUCAUACCUUGAGCAGAAGUAGAUCCUUUCCUAGGGUCUGACAGUAAGUUUUCUUCCUUCAUCACAGAUGCUCUGGCAGCCCAUAAGGAAAUGUGUUUAUCUUGAAAGCACCUGGCAGAGACGGUGUGGAUGGGGCUGAGCUAGUGGAAAGACCCCAUUUCUCAAACCCAGCUUUCUAUACGGAAUUAUUCAAAGGGAAACCUUAUCAGGCAGCCUUCCGGCUUGGUGUCAUCCAUCUUCUAAAGUGGAUGGAAAGAGACACAACCAAACAUUACUAUAAAUUGUAUGGUGGAAGGAGAGAGAGGAAGGCAUGUUUCUAAGAGGGCAAGUCAUGGUUCCCAUCAACAGGUAAGCAGAACACUAGCCCAGUAAAUGCAGUUCGAUUUGAGUUACUGCUAAAGUGCUUGAAGUUGUUUGUUUCUCUCCCCCCCGCCCCCCCCAGGUGUUUUAUUUAUUUACGCAAUGAAUUU
rnacentral:lncRNA from 1 species